GACGAACGCUGGCGGCGUGCCUAAUACAUGCAAGUCGAGCGAGACUCUUCGGAGUCUAGCGGCGGACGGGUGAGUAACACGUGGGCAACCUGCCUGUAAGACUGGGAUAACACCGGGAAACCGGUGCUAAUACCGGAUAAUCCUUUUCUUCUCAUGAGGAAAAGCUGAAAGUCGGUUUCGGCUGACACUUACAGAUGGGCCCGCGGCGCAUUAGCUAGUUGGUGAGGUAACGGCUCACCAAGGCGACGAUGCGUAGCCGACCUGAGAGGGUGAUCGGCCACACUGGGACUGAGACACGGCCCAGACUCCUACGGGAGGCAGCAGUAGGGAAUCUUCCACAAUGGACGAAAGUCUGAUAGAGCAACGCCGCGUGAGCGAUGAAGGCCUUCGGGUCGUAAAGCUCUGUUGUUAGGGAAGAACAAGUACCGGAGUAACUGCCGGUACCUUGACGGUACCUAACCAGAAAGCCACGGCUAACUACGUGCCAGCCGCCGCGGUAAAAC
rnacentral:rRNA from 1 species